GACGAACCGUGCGAACGUUGUUCGGAAUCACUGGGCUUAAAGGGAGCGUAGGCGGGCUAACAAGUCUGGGGUGAAAUCCCGCGGCUCAACCGUGGAACUGCCUCAGAUACUGUCGGCCUCGAGGGAGAUAGGGGCAUGCGGAACUAACGGUGGAGCGGUGAAAUGCGUUGAUAUCGUUAGGAACUCCGGUGGCGAAAGCGGCGUGCUGGAUCUCUUCUGACGCUGAGGCUCGAAAGCUAGGGGAGCAAACGGG
rnacentral:rRNA from 1 species